rnacentral:rRNA from 1 species
AUGGCGUCCUUGUCCCCUAAGCGGCGGCGCCGUGACCUCGAUUCAGCCGCCACGGAGGCCAGAACUCCCACCAUUGCCGUCUCGCCAUCAACGGACGUUAUCUUCGAGAUCCUGUCCUGGCUGCCGCCCAGGUCCCUAGGCCGGUGCCGGUGCGUGUCCAGGAACUGGCGCGACAUCAUCUCCAACCCAGCCUUCGUGGCGGCGCACAUGUCCCGUGCCGAGCCGCUUCUCGUCGCCAAAACCAGCGACUCCCACCAUUGGUCCCUGCAACUGAUGGACACGGAGGGCACACCUGUGAGAGUGUCGAGCUUAGCUGGGGCGUGGACCUUCCAAGCCAGCCUCGACGACCUUGCCUACAUCACCUUCCGCAACAGGGACUCGGUGACCCCCGCCGUCGUGAACCUAGCCACCGGUGUGACGCUCACGAAUUUGCCGAAGCAGACGGUUCUAGAGUAUUACACGUUGACAUACAUGGGCUUCGGACGCACCGCCCAGUCCGGCGUGUACAAGCUCCUUCGCCUCCGUAUGACCAACCGAACACAAACUUGCGACAUCCUCACAGUAGGAGACAACGUCGAAUGGCGACGGACACGACCGCCCCCAAUGAUAGCCCGCCAAAGCUAUGCUAGUCCCCCUGUCGCCCUUGAUGGUGCCUUGCACGUCUUGUCCCGUGAUGAGAACUGCGUGCUGUGCUUCGACCUUGAGAGCGAGAAGUGGCAGGCGAUCCAUGGACCGCAAGGAGGAGUUAUCAGAGUCAAGGAGCCUAUAAGCAUAGCCCAGCUCAAUGGCACCUUGUGCAUAGCUCAAAUGGAACCGUAUUUGAUCAAUAUAUGGCUCCUGAGUGAUUCUAAAAGCAACGUUUGGGUCAAAGCGUAUACGAUACCGACGCGUCGGAAAGUCGUCAAACAUGUGCUGCCUUUGAGAGUGUUACGUCUCGGUGGGGGGCUGAUCUUCUACUUCUAUGGCAACAAUGCAAAGCCAAAGUUAAAAGUAUACAAUCCUAGUUUGAGAAGAUGCACGGCCGUCAAGACACCGGCCAACCUCAUCGGCACAAUCGGCCUUUGCAGUGCGGACAUAUAUUCUAAUGUAGAUCUUGUGACCAGCCCUAACUGA